UUCGAUUAAGCCAUGCGAGUCGAGAGUCUUAGGGACUCGGCGUACCGCUCAGUAACACGUGGGUAACCUGCCCUAUGCUGGGGAAUAACCUCGGGAAACUGAGAAUAAUGCCCCAUAGUCCACCAUGCCUGGAACGGUUGGUGGAUCAAAGCUCCGGCGGCAUAGGAUGGGCCUGCGGCGUAUCAGGUUGUAGGGGGUGUAAUGUACCCUCUAGCCAUCAACGCGUACGGGUGUUGGGAGACAUAGCCCGGAGAUGGAUUCUGAGACACGAAUCCAGACCCUACGGGGUGCAGCAGGCGCGAAAACUUGGCAAUGCGAGCAAUCGUGACCAGGGAACUCCAAGUGGCUGGGGUAAGACCCAGUCUUUUCUUGACUCUUCAACGGUCUUGGAAUAAGGGGUGGGUAAGGACGGUGCCAGCCGCCGCGGUAAUACCGGCGCCUCAAGUGGUAGUCGAUUUUAUUGGGCCUAAAACGUCCGUAGCCUGUUUGUACAUUCGGGGGUAAAUCAACCAGCUCAACUGAUUGAAUUCUGCGAGCACGGCCAGACUUGGGACCGGGUGAGGUGUGGGGUACUCUCAGGGUAGGGGUAAAAUCCUGUCAUCCUGAGAGGACCACCUGUUGCGAAGGCGCCACACUAGAACGGAUCCGACGGUCAGGGACGAAGCCUAGGGGCACGAACCGGAUUAGAUACCCGGGUAGUCCUAGGUGUAAACGCUGUGGACUUGAUGUUGGGAGUGCUCCGAGCACCCUCAGUGUCGAAGCGAAGGUGAUAAGUCCACUGCCUGGGGAGUACGGUCGCAAGGCUGAAACUUAAAGGAAUUGGCGGGGGAGCACUGCAACCUGAGGAUUGUGCG
rnacentral:rRNA from 1 species